rnacentral:lncRNA from 10 species
CUGAAAGAGUUCCCCCAAUAAACCUCCUGUACUCAGUCCUCUACCAAGAGUCUGCUUCCGGGGGAAUUUGCCCUAAGAUAGUCGUAACAGGACUGGCCCUAGGAAGGAGACUCUAAAAUGAUAUUUUGGAGCUCCAUCAUCCACUUGCUGGUUUACAAUGAUCUCAUCAUAGACAGCAGAGAAGAGCAUCUCUCUCAGAGGAGGCACUGAACAGCCAAAUACACAGAAGAACUUGUUCGGUUGACAUCCUUCCAUCAGCUUCUGCUAUUGGCCACCUGGAUGCUGGUAAAAUGGGCAGAGAGGUAUAUCAGCCACAACUGUAAACUGGAGAGAACAAGAGCCUCCUAUCCUCUAGGAUUGCUGAAAAAGGAUAUAGUCUCUAAUCUGACUUUCAUCAGUAAUGAAGAUCGUUUUUAUUUUUAAAUUUGAUCUGCCUACUAUGUCUAGUGCUCCUUUGAUUCCAAACUCAAAUAGGAACAACACCAAAAAACAGUAUGAGUUACUGUCCACUCCCUAAACCUGCAACACUAACAGAAGAGUGCUAUUUCCUCCAAUAACUGUUCACUUCCUUCCUAUGACACGUAAGAUACCUAUGAGCAACCCAGAAGGGGGCUACAAUAGAGAUACUGUUAGGGCUGAUUAUGUAUGAUUCUCGAAGCGCUAGCUUGACCUCUACCUUAAAUAAAACGUAAAGAUAUA